rnacentral:tRNA from 1 species
GCCGCGGUAGCUCAGUUGGUAGAGCAUCGGAUGCUUUGUUCGAAGGUCGCAGGUUCGGUCCCUGCCCGCGGCA